CGGGAUGUAGCGCAGCUUGGUAGCGCAUCUGGUUUGGGACCAGAGGGUCGUAGGUUCGAAUCCUAUCAUCCCGA
rnacentral:tRNA from 1 species